UCCCUGAUAGCUCAGUUUUUAAAGAAUUUGCCUGCAAUGCAGGAGACCCUGGUUCGAUUCCUGGUUUGGGAA
rnacentral:tRNA from 1 species